AAACCUACCUCGAGCCAGGUUUCAAGUUGGUAUAUCACCAGGUCAAGCUGGACUUUAUAACACUAUCAAAUGAAAACAUGUUAUACUGACAACCCACUAAAGGAACUAAAACAAUUCUACUUGGAUAGAGCCUUUUGGUUCAUGGAACGAUCAAAUUAGCUUCAUCUUGUACAUCAACACAGAUUUUGAAUAGAGUUGGAAUUAAAAGCAAGUGCAGAUUGGGAUUCUUCAUUCCCCAUGACACAAUAAACCCUCUUGAUGAACAAUAUGUCAAGCCAAGUUGAUUUUCUCCCUCCCCUGCAUUUUUUUUUCCUUUCAUUUGGAUUCUAAGUUCUAAUCCAUUGGAAAUGCAAAACGCACAUAUUAAUAUAUUCUAUUUGCUGACACAGUAUUAUAUAUAUAUAUAAAGAGAACAUGGGAAACAACUCACAAUCAAGUAUCUUCCGAUCUUCACUCGCCAAUUUCUAGCAGCAGGAAGUUCAACCAUCCAAUAUAUCUCAAGAAAAGUUGAUAUAGUUCACAAUUUCUGAAUCGCCAAAGCUUCAAAAUUUCUACUAGCAGGGUUUCCCUGAUUUUAGGUUCUUGGUCACUCUGUAAUGCUGCUCAAUGUGAAGACUAGAUCAAGCAGCGAUGUGAAAUCUUUGUAUGCAGCGAACUGCAUAAUUACAAAAAGUUCAUGACAAGCGGCAGUGCCAAUUAUAUUUGCAAUUCCAGAAGAAUCAACCAACGAGAAUAAACAAUGCACUAGAAAAUUCAAAACAACUUCCUAACUAAAGAGAUAGUGCCUCAAUAAUGGAUAUCAAAGCCAAAGAAAAGUAACCCAAUCAAUGAAAUAACAAUCUUCAGAAGUGUUGGGAGAAAUUUCUAACAGAUGCUUGGAUAAAUUUGCUUCAUCCUAUCCUUUUCACAAUAAAACAUCAAGAUUUUGUAGAUGAUAGGCUUCUAAACACAAAUGGUAAAACACCACAUACCUACAAGUCCUCAUUAGCAUUCACAAUCGAGAAACUUUAGCUUGUCUUUCAAAAUGAUAACUCAUUUCAUGGGUCAGGCUAGCUCACUAGCAUAGAGAACAGUUGUUAUAUCAGUUCACAUAUCACAACUUUUCCUCUGUAAACCUGUACAAACUCCUCAAACAAGCAACAAAACCAGUUCCUUUAGUUUGCAUUGGUUG